rnacentral:rRNA from 1 species
ACAGCAGCAGCCACGGUAAUACGUAGGUCCCGAGCGUUGUCCGGAUUUAUUGGGCGUAAAGCGCGCGCAGGCGGAUAGGUCAGUCUGUCUUAAAAGUUCGGGGCUUAACCCCGUGAUGGGAUGGAAACUGCCAAUCUAGAGUAUCGGAGAGGAAAGUGGAAUUCCUAGUGUAGCGGUGAAAUGCGUAGAUAUUAGGAAGAACACCAGUGGCGAAGGCGACUUUCUGGACGAAAACUGACGCUGAGGCGCGAAAGCCAGGGGAGCGAACGGGAUUAGAGACCCCGGUAGUCCCUGUCUCUUAUACA